CCUACGGGUGGCUGCAGUGGGGAAUAUUGCACGAUGGGCGCAAGCCUGAUGCAGCCAUGCCGCGUGUGUGAAGAAGGCCUUUGGGUUGUAAAGCACUUUCAGCGGGGAGGAAGGCGGUGAGGUUAAUAACCUCAUCGAUUGACGUUACCCGCAGAAGAAGCACCGGCUAACUCCGUGCCAGCAGCCGCGGUAAUACGGAGGGUGCAAGCGUUAAUCGGAAUUACUGGGCGUAAAGCGCACGCAGGCGGUCUGUCAAGUCGGAUGUGAAAUCCCCGGGCUCAACCUGGGAACUGCAUUCGAAACUGGCAGGCUAGAGUCUUGUAGAGGGGGGUAGAAUUCCAGGUGUAGCGGUGAAAUGCGUAGAGAUCUGGAGGAAUACCGGUGGCGAAGGCGGCCCCCUGGACAAAGACUGACGCUCAGGUGCGAAAGCGUGGGGAGCAAACAGGAUUAGAUACCCUAGUAGUC
rnacentral:rRNA from 1 species